rnacentral:rRNA from 1 species
UGACGGGACCGCACAAGCGGUGGAUGAUGUGGUUUAAUUCGAUGCAACGCGAAAACCUUACCCACCUUUGACAUGGCAGGAAGUUACCAGAGAUGGUUUCGUGCUCGAAAGAGAACCUGCACACAGGUGCUGCAUGGCUGUCGUCAGCUCGUGUCGUGAGAUGUUGGGUUAAGUCCCGCAACGAGCGCAACCCUUGCCAUCAGUUGCUACGAAAGGGCACUCUGAUGGGACUGCCGGUGACAAACCGGAGGAAGGUGGGGAUGACGUCAAGUCCUCAUGGCCCUUAUAGGUGGGGCUACACACGUCAUACAAUGGCCGGUACAAAGGGCAGCCAACCCGCGAGGGGGAGCCAAUCCCAUAAAGCCGGUCGUAGUCCGGAUCGCAGUCUGCAACUCGACUGCGUGAAGUCGGAAUCGCUAGUAAUCGUGGAUCAGCAUGUCACGGUGAAUACGUUCCCGGGUCUU